UACAGAGGUCCCGAGCGUUGUUCGGAUUCAUUGGGCGUAAAGGGUGCGGAGGCGGUUUGCUAAGUUUGAUGUGAAAUCCCGGGGCUUAACCCUGGAAUUGCAUUGAAUACUGGCGGACUAGAGUCCUGGAGAGGAAACUGGAAUUUACGGUGUAGCAGUGAAAUGCGUAGAGAUCGUAAGGAAGACCAGUGGCGAAGGCGAGUUUCUGGACAGGUACUGACGCUGAGGCACGAAGGCCAGGGGAGCAAACGGG
rnacentral:rRNA from 1 species